GAUGAACGCUGGCGGCGUGCCUAAUACAUGCAAGUCGAGCGAACGGACGAGAAGCUUGCUUCUCUGAUGUUAGCGGCGGACGGGUGAGUAACACGUGGAUAACCUACCUAUAAGACUGGGAUAACUUCGGGAAACCGGAGCUAAUACCGGAUAAUAUUUUGAACCGCAUGGUUCAAAAGUGAAAGACGGUCUUGCUGUCACUUAUAGAUGGAUCCGCGCUGCAUUAGCUAGUUGGUAAGGUAACGGCUUACCAAGGCAACGAUGCAUAGCCGACCUGAGAGGGUGAACGGCCACACUGGAACUGAGACACGGUCCAGACUCCGACGGGAGGCAGCAGUAGGGAAUCUUCCGCCAUGGGCGAAAGCCUGACGGAGCAACGCCGCGUGAGUGAUGAAGGUCUUCGGAUCGUAAAACUCUGUUAUUAGGGAAGAACAUAUGUGUAAGUAACUGUGCACAUCUUGACGGUACCUAAUCAGAAAGCCACGGCUAACUACGUG
rnacentral:rRNA from 1 species